AAGCUAGAGCCCCACUAUCAACACCCAAAGCUGAAGUUCUAUUUAAACCAUUCCCUG
rnacentral:tRNA from 2 species